ensembl:snoRNA small nucleolar RNA SNORD88
CGUCUCCCCUGAUGAUUCGCACUGGGCUCUGAGUCCUUAUGGUGACAAAAGUGCAUCUCUGGCCCUGACAAGCCAGAGUCUCUGAGGAGAAA